GACACUUCUGGGGACAUCAGGGAACCCUUGGGGACACCGAGGAUCUCUUUAGGGACCCUCUGAGGACAUUGGGGACCCCCCCUGGGAUGGCCAUGGGAGGGUUGGGGACGUCAGAGGGCCCUUGGGGACACCAGGGACUGUCUCGGGGACACUUUGGGGACACCUCGGACCCUUUUGGGCCUCCCCCGGGAUUGUCAUGGUGGCCUUGGGGACAUCAGGGACUUUCAUGGGGACACAUUGGGGACAUCGGGACCCCCCUUGGGGACACCAAGGACCCUUUUGGGGACCCCUUGGGGACAUUGGGGCCCCCCCUGGGUUGGUCAUGUGGGGGUGGGGGGCAUCAAAGGUCCCUUUGGGGACACUGGGGAUUCUUUUGGAUUUAGCCCCGCCCCCUAAUCCUUAGCCAAUCAGCGCUGUCGUGCCAUGGCACUUCAGCCAAUGGCAGCGCAGGAUGGGCGGGAGUUUCGCUACCAUGGAAACGCCCGAGCCGGGUCACCAUGGUAACGAGCGAGGACGCUUCCGGGUUCCUGCCCCGCCCCCUGCCGCUCUUAGCCAAUCAGCACUCGCGGAGCGGAACAGCCAAUGGCGAUGCAGAAGGGGCGGGAGCAGCGUUGCCAUGGCAGCGGUGCGGCCGGGCCUGCGGCGGGAAAAGCGAGAAAAGGUCCCUGGGGGCGGAGCUUGAGGCAGAAAGGGGGCGUGUCCAUGAAUUGGAGGUGGAGCUGAAAGCACUGAAGGGGCGGAGCCAGCACCUGGAGGUGGAGCUUGAAGCAGAAAAGGGGCGGAGCCAACGGCUGGAGGCAGAACUUAAGACAGAAAGGGGGCGGGGCCAAGCGCUGAGGGUGGAACUCGAUGCCCUGAGGGGGCGUGGCCAGCGAUUGGAGGCAGAGCUGGAUGCAGAAAAGGGGCGGAGCCAAAUCCUGGAGAUGGAGCUGGAGACCCUCAGGGGGCGGGGCCUCAGCCCAGAGGGGGCGGAGCCAAGCCCGGAGCAGGUGAGGCCUCGAUGCUCCCAGUUACCCCCAGUGCUCCCAGUAACUCCCAGUGCUCCCAGUUACCCCCAGUGCUCCCAGUAACUCCCAGUCUCACCUGUCCCAGGUGUUCUGGAUUUGUCUCAGGGGCAGGAGCCACCCCAGGAGGGGCCAGGGACACCUGGGGGGACAAUGGGGAUAUUUGGGGGCACUUGGGGACACACCUGAACACACCUGGGGACACUGGGGACACACCUGGGGAUGUUGGGGACACACCCUGAGGUGCCCCAGGUGUGUUUGGGGUGUCUCACGUACACUGGAGGUGGUUCA
rnacentral:lncRNA from 1 species